GGGUCUUUAGCUCAGCGGUUAGAGCUCCGAGCUCAUAACUCGGCGGUCGUUGGAUCAUACCCAACAAGACUCA
rnacentral:tRNA from 1 species